rnacentral:lncRNA from 1 species
UGAAACGGAGCUCCCCAAAGAGAUCGAACUCGGGUCCUUGCACUUGCAAGGCAGGCGGCAGAACCACUGAGCUAAAUCCCUGGCCCAGAGAAUGCCCUGUUGAUGGUCUUGGGUUUGAUGAUGUGUGAUGAUACUCAUGCUCGUUAUGAGGGAUACAAGGUGAAAAGCCCUGUAUGGAGUCAGGUCCAACUGAAGAGAACUGUCAACCGGAUUCUAAUCCCAACAUCAUCAUGACCACCUUGCUGGUGACCGUGGGUGGGUCUCACUACGUAGUUCAGGCUUGAUUUGAACUCACUACAUAGGCCAGGUUGGCCUCAAACUCACAGCGAUCCUCCUGCCUCUGCCUCCCAAGAGAUGGGAUUUCAGAUGCAGAGAUCCGGGUCAGGAUGGCCCACAGGGCAAGAAAAGCAUUUGGUUUGCAAACCCCAGCAAAAGGAAAACCUUCUUCCCGGCUCAGGGGCUUUUCUAGAAAGGCCAAACCAGACGCGUGGAAAGCAGAGGGACUGCUGACCCUUCCGCCACUCACUACCUGUGUGGUUUCUGGGGGUCACCGGUGGUAAGCAUGGGGGUUUGAGUUCACUUCACCCACAAAACCCUGUGAUUGUCAAGUGCAGGCUUUCGCCACAGAAUCGUAACCCUGGAAAGGGUUUGUCUUUUGAAAAUAAUGUCUUAGCUUGAUCUCAGCGCUAGAAUUUGUUUUUUAUUUAUUUAGGGUUUUUUGUGAGACAUUGUCUUGCUAUGUAGUUCAGGCUGGCCUCGAACUCACAGUAUUGCUGCUGCCGCCUCAGCCUCCCAAGUGCUGGGAUCAGAGGCAUGGGCAACCAGGCCCAGUUUAGAAUGUAUUCUGGACAGUGUUUCAUGUGCCGGUUAAGCCUAGUGGGUUGGACACAUGCUCACCUGCAUUCUGCUUUCAAGUUCCAUUUAGCGAUGAGGACAAAGAAAAGGACCCACAGACCUGGGUCAGAAGGAGGAGAAACUGGGAGGCCCGUAGCAGGAGAAGCCAGCAAGCCAACCCUGCCCCACUUUCUGGGAGUGAAGGCGGAGUGAGCAUGAUUAAACAGAAGUCUGAUGAAUGAAGACGAAGUCCUGCUCCCAGCGACUUCCUCUCUCCCUUGCCACCCUGCAGGAUACUGGGAGGAAAAAGUCAACCUGUGACCCAGUCACCUAGCAGUGUAGUCCAACAGGUCACAGGCCCUCGUCCCUCUGUGAGAGAGACCACAAAAGAUGGACAAAGAAACCGAACAGACAGAGACCGUUCAAGGAACAAAAGAAGUCUAAUAAUUUUUCGCAGAGACUUACUCAGGUGUCUGCUAAAAUGUCUCUUCAUCCAAGUCCUUUCCUGCCCCCCCCAAUCGUGUCUUUUAUUACUCAGCCUUAUUUCAGACACAGAGAACAGCGGGAUGGAGGGGAGAAAACUAUUAAGAUGAGUAAUACGAAAACUUUCCCAGAGCUGAAGGGCCUGGGCUUCUUGUUUGAAAGGACCAUUGAGUCCCAGGCACAAUGCAGGGGAGAAGACCCCCAUUCGGGUGCAGGCAUCACCAUGAAAUUCAGAACCCACGAUAAAGAGAAGACUUUAAAAGCUUCCCAAGAGAUAAAAUAGUAGGCUUUUACAAAGGAUCAGCAACCAGAAUUGCUCUGGACUGCUCAAUAAAAACAUCAGAAGCUACGAGAAAAUAGAGCAAGGCAUCAAAAUCCCAAAGGAAAAGGAUUCCAACCUGUCAUCCUAGGUUCAGCUCAAUUAUCAAUUAAGGAUUGAAGGGAAAUAAAGACAUUUUUAGAUGUGCAGUUUCUCAAAAGGCACGCUUCCUGCGCUCUUGGAAUAAACCAAGAAAGAAGGUGACAGGGGAUCCAGGGGAGUCCAUAACAUAAGAGAACCAACCAGUCUGGAUUGAAGGAG